UACGGAGGGUGCGAGCGUUGUCCGGAAUCACUGGGCGUAAAGGGCGCGUAGGCGGCUUCUCAAGCGUGUGGUGAAAGUCCGGGGCUCAACCCCCGGAUCGGCCGUGCGGACUGGGGAGCUCGAGUUCUGUAGAGGCGGGUGGAAUUCCGGGUGUAGCGGUGGAAUGCGUAGAGAUCCGGAAGAACACCGGUGGCGAAGGCGGCCCGCUGGGCAGAGACUGACGCUGAGGCGCGACAGCGUGGGGAGCAAACAGG
rnacentral:rRNA from 1 species